rnacentral:lncRNA from 1 species
CUAAUGGUAUGAGCUCAAUGAGUUUGUUGUGCUGCAAGAACUUUGUGCAAAUCACAAGGGGUGGGUACAUCGUGUCAUGGCACACUAGUGCUACAGAUCACCACAAGGAACUAACAUGGUGAUCGAUUGAGGGGAAUUAUAGCAUUUUCAAUUCGAAAAGGAAAAAUUGGAUCCAGCAGAUUCAAGCUCAGUAGAUUUCUAAUUCCACAAGCAAGACUCUCCAACUACAGGUGAUGUGCUUUUAAGUUUGAUUUAGUCAGUGAUGGAGGCAUGAUCUCUGGAUGACCAAAAGGUACCCAGCUGGGUCAGGCGCCCCACUAGGCCACUACAAGUGGUUAUCUAUCAUGUUGCGUUCACGCCUCUCGAUCUUGAGGCUCAUGGAAAGGUAAGGAGGAGGAAAAAGACACUUCAGUCAAUUGGCUCCCCAAGCACUC